rnacentral:sRNA from 4 species
AGAGGAGCUGUCGAUACCCCAUGAUGCUCAGGUCCGCCGCAUCUCCUGGGUCGUGGGGUCGGUCGGCUAGUAGGCAAGUCAUAACGGUUCCUCGUGCCGUUUUGCAUGCUGGCCGACC